rnacentral:rRNA from 1 species
UACGAGGGGUGCAAGCGUUGCUCGGAAUUAUUGGGCGUAAAGGGUAGGUAGGUGGUCUCAUUUGUCAGGGGUGAAAGCCUUGGGCUUAACCCAAGAAGUGCCCUUGAAACGGUGAGACUGGAGUCUUGGAGAGGGUCGUGGAAUUCCCGGUGUAGCGGUGAAAUGCGUAGAGAUCGGGAGGAACACCAGAGGCGAAGGCGGCGACCUGGACAAGUACUGACACUCAACUACGAAAGCGUGGGGAGCAAACAGG